rnacentral:lncRNA from 1 species
GAUGACGGUGAAACAAGGAGAAUAUUUUAGUCUGACCAAAUCUGAAAUGCUGAAGCAAACAGCAACCUUAUCUCCAGAGACAAAAGUGUGAAGGUAAAAAAAAAAGCAGAUGAAAUGUUUACAGGCAGCCUUGGCGGUGAGGGAGGGGCCCAGGGCCCAGACCCCAGGACCCAGGGAGAGCUCUAGUGCUUUGCAAAUCCCUAUUGCUGCUAGGCUAGGCCCCUCCAUAUAAGGUAGCACUCAUGAGCGCUCAUCAAGUUCAAUGAACGCUGCACCGCUGUUCUCCUUUUGACUUUUGCUUUUCUUUUUGAAUAUUAUUAGGCCAUUCUCAGUGUACAGAGACUGGCCGCGGUGAAUCGUUUAAACGUAGAACUGUGCGUGACACUGUUAAACAAUAUUUGUAGAUUGAAGUUUGGCAUAGGAGAUGAGAAUGGUGAUUAGGAGAGAGGAUACUCUGUCUCAUCCCCUAUUUUAAAUUUCGCGUCCCUAUUUUACACUACCGCUAGAGACCGUCUUACUACCCCUGUCUAACAUGUUUUGCAGAGAACAUAUCCAUCCAAGAACAUGCACAUGCGGCGUGAUAUCUCCGUAUGGAUGGGAACUGGGAAGGAAGAAUGAAGAUGCAUGAGGGAAGAUGUGUUGAUGAGGACUGAGGAGGCAUCCAAAC